AUUUGUUUCUUUUCUUCUUUUUU
rnacentral:sRNA from 1 species